UGUAGUGCCAGAGAGGAGUGUGUGUCAAAGCAGAAAGGGUAUUGGGCUUCCUUGAAAGCCCAUGUUUGUUGUUGUAGUUCAGAAAGGAGGUACGCAUGGAAAAAUAGGGUGCAGGACUUAACACUCAGAACUUAACACUUUCUCCAAGUUGAACCAAACUAUUUAGGAACCCUAACCGAAGAAAAUGAAAUUAAAUUGAAACGGAGGGGAAUCGAGCCUCUCCACCUUGGGGCUUUGAUUCCCCUCAUUGAGAGCUACAUGAUGGUAACAACUUUAUUAAGAAAGAAGCAAGGAGAGGAAAAUACCUAUUUGCAAGACCACGGUUUGUCUUGGAUUUCAUUGGAGGUGCAGAUGAGGAUCACGAAGAAAAGACCAGAGGAACGUUCAGGAUUUGUACACGUGGGAAGGCUUGGCAAGGCAUUUUGGUCAUGAAGAUGCUUAUACAAGUCAUCAAUAUGGAAGUCUUUCUUUGGAACACACCAAGAGUCAUGAAAAAGCUUGAAGGUUUUAGAGGCUUGGAGACUUGAAUGCACAAACAAUAAAGUGUCUUGAGGAUGAGUAGGAAAGUAGACUAGGGUUUAGGAGCAGGUUGACUUUGGUCAACUGUUUGAGCAAAAAGUCAAUAAUUGACCAAAAGUCAAUUGUAGGUCGAAAUGUAAUUUUUGUGUAAAAUUUCUAAUUUGGAUUCUUUUGUAAUGAAUGUUUGAAGGUUUUUUGAAAUUGGUCUUUGAAUGGCAA